rfam:Agrilus planipennis Contig42793, whole genome shotgun sequence.
ACACAAUCUCAUAACACUGAUAAAAACAAUCGGAUGAAGAGGACUUUAAUUGAUCCUGUAACGGCCUGUGGUAGAGGGGUUUUAGUCGGUAGGUCCGAGUACAUCUUCCUCGGGAAUCCGACACUACCCAGUCGUAUGGAUGACUGGGUGUCUUUUGAAGAUUUCCCCUCUUCCACGAAA